UACCAGCACCCCGAGUGGUCGGGACGUUUAUUGGGCCUAAAGCAUCCGUAGCCGGUUCUACAAGUCCCCCGUUAAAUCCAGCUGCUUAACAGAUGGGCUGCGGAGGAUACUAUAAGACUAGGAGGCAGGAGAGGCAAGCGGUACUCAGUGGGUAGGGGUAAAAUCCGUUGAUCCAUUGAAGACCACCAGUGGCGAAGGCGGCUUGCCAGAAUGCGCUCGACGGUGAGGGAUGAAAGCUGGGGGAGCAAACCGG
rnacentral:rRNA from 1 species